AUUGAACGCUGGCGGCAUGCUUUACACAUGCAAGUCGAACGGUAACAGGCCGCAAGGUGCUGACGAGUGGCGAACGGGUGAGUAAUGCAUCGGAACGUGCCCAGUCGUGGGGGAUAACUACUCGAAAGAGUAGCUAAUACCGCAUACGAUCUAUGGAUGAAAGCGGGGGACCGUAAGGCCUCGCGCGAUUGGAGCGGCCGAUGUCAGAUUAGGUAGUUGGUGGGGUAAAGGCUCACCAAGCCAACGAUCUGUAGCUGGUCUCAGAGGACGACCAGCCACACUGGGACUGAGACACGGCCCAGACUCCUACGGGAGGCAGCAGUGGGGAAUUUUGGACAAUGGGCGCAAGCCUGAUCCAGCAAUGCCGCGUGCAGGAAGAAGGCCUUCGGGUUGUAAACUGCUUUUGUACGGAACGAAACGGCUCUGGUUAAUACCCGGGGCUAAUGACGGUACCGUAAGAAUAAGCACCGGCUAACUACGUG
rnacentral:rRNA from 1 species